UACGUAGGUGGCAAGCGUUGUCCGGAUUUACUGGGCAUAAAGGGAGCGUAGGCGGAUAUUUAAGUCAGAUGUGAAAUACCCGAGCUUAACUUGGGUGCUGCAUUUGAAACUGGAUAUCUGGAGUGCAGGAGAGGAAAGUGGAAUUCCUAGUGUAGCGGUGAAAUGCGUAGAGAUUAGGAAGAACACCAGUGGCGAAGGCGACUUUCUGGACUGUAACUGACGCUGAGGCUCGAAAGCGUGGAGAGCAAACAGG
rnacentral:rRNA from 1 species